CAAUAGCGUAUAUUAAAGUUGUUGCGGUUAAAAAGCUCGUAGUUGGAUUUCUGCUGAGAACGACCGGUCCGCCCUCUGGGUGUGUAUCUGGCUCUUUCUUGGCAUCUUCUUGGUGAACGUUGCUGCACUUGACUGUGUGGAGCGCUACCCAGGACUUUUACUUUGAGGAAAUUAGAGUGUUUCAAGCAGGCAUACGCCUUGAAUACAUUAGCAUGGAAUAAUAAGAUAGGACCUCGGUUCUAUUUUGUUGGUUUCUAGAGCUGAGGUAAUGAUUAAUAGGGAUAGUUGGGGGCAUUCGUAUUUAACUGUCAGAGGUGAAAUUCUUGGAUUUUUUAAAGACGGACUACUGCGAAAGCAUUUGCCAAGGAUGUUUUCAUUGA
rnacentral:rRNA from 1 species